rnacentral:lncRNA from 1 species
GUAAAAGUUUUUUAAAUUUCCGGCACUCUUUAUUUGUCGCUGAAAGACUACAGUAUGACAAUCCAUGCUAUCCUUUUGCUACUUCGAUUUUUUUGAAAAUCUAUCACUCCCUUCGUUCCAUGUAACUGUUUUCGUGAUCAGUGAACUAUGCUCUUAUGAACUUGGCAUUCGGUGGAGUUGCUGUAGACCUGGUCGUGUUCCUAAGGAGGGUGCUUCAUCAGGAGAACGCCGAGGCUGCCAACAACAUCAGCAAGUGGACUGGUACUGUCUACAUCUUCUCGCUCUUCCGUGCCUGGGGCGCUACAUCACCUGCAUCGUGUUUCAGGUCAUCUAUCUCGUGGUAAGAACUGAAUUCACUGGUUGCUACUAAUUGGCAUAAGAACACUUACAUUUUAAUUACACUUAGAUACCCGGCCCAUUAAUUGGUGAAUACUAACUUCGUUUUGUGCCAUGAAGGGGUUGGUGAUGCUGUCCCUGUCAUCUUUGUUCUUCCUGGUGGUGCCCUCCAAGUGCGGCGAUGGCGUAGGGCUGAGGCCCUGCCGGCCACCGUCGCAGCUCGGCAUCGCGUUAUUCUACGUGUCAACCUACACAACCGCAUUCGGGAUCGGCGGGUACCAGCCGUCGGUGGCGACGUUCGGGGCGGACCAGUUCGACGAGUCGGACGCCACGGAGCGGCGCUCGAAGCUUGCCUUCUUCAGCUACUUCUACGUGGCGCUCAACGUCGGCUCCCUCUUCUCCAACUCC